GACGAACGCUGGCGGCGUGCGUAAUACAUGCAAGUCGAACGCACGAAGUUGAAGAGCUUGCUCUUUAACCAAGUGAGUGGCGGACGGGUGAGUAACACGUGGGUAACCUGCCCAUUAGAGGGGGAUAACAUUCGGAAACGGAUGCUGAUACCGCAUAGUUUCAGGAAUCGCAUGAUUCGUGAAGGAAAGGUGGCUUCGGCUACCACUAAUGGGUGGACCCGCGGCGUAUUAGCUAGUUGGUGAGGUAAUGGCUCACCAAGGCAAUGAUACGUAGCCGACCUGAGAGGGUGAUCGGCCACACUGGGACUGAGACACGGCCCAGACUCCUACGGGAGGCAGCAGUAGGGAAUCUUCCGCAAUGGACGAAAGUCUGACGGAGCAACGCCGCGUGAGUGAAGAAGGUUUUCGGAUCGUAAAACUCUGCUGUUAAAGAAGAACAAGGAUGAGAGUAACUGCUCAUCCCCUGACGGUAUUUAACCAGAAAGCCACGGCUAACUACGUGCCAGCAGCCGCGGUAAUACGUAGGUGGCAAGCGUUGUCCGGAUUUAUUGGGCGUAAAGCGAGCGCAGGCGGUUCUUUAAGUCUGAUGUGAAAGCCCCCGGCUCAACCGGGGAGGGUCAUUGGAGACUGGAGAACUUGAGUGCAGAAGAGGAGAGUGGAAUUCCACGUGUAGCGGUGAAAUGCGUAGAUAUGUGGAGGAACACCAGUGGCGAAGGCGACUCUCUGGUCUGUAACUGACGCUGAGGCUCGAAAGCGUGGGGAGCAAACAGG
rnacentral:rRNA from 1 species